rnacentral:rRNA from 1 species
UGCCAGCAGCCGCGGUAAUACGGAGGAUCCAAGCGUUAUCCGGAAUCAUUGGGUUUAAAGGGUCCGUAGGCGGUCUAAUAAGUCAGAGGUGAAAUCCUACAGCUCAACUGUAGCAUUGCCUUUGAUACUGUUAGUCUUGAGUUAUAUUGAAGUAGAAAGAAUAUGUAGUGUAGCGGUGAAAUGCAUAGAUAUUACAUAGAAUACCGAUUGCGAAGGCAGUCUACUAAUUAUAUACUGACGCUGAUGAACGAAAGCGUGGGUAGCGAACGGGAUUAGAUA